GACGAACGCUGGCGGCGUGCUUAACACAUGCAAGUCGAACGGAAAGGCCCUGCUUUUGUGGGGUGCUCGAGUGGCGAACGGGUGAGUAACACGUGAGUAACCUGCCCUUGACUUUGGGAUAACUUCAGGAAACUGGGGCUAAUACCGGAUAGGAGCUCCUGCUGCAUGGUGGGGGUUGGAAAGUUUCGGCGGUUGGGGAUGGACUCGCGGCUUAUCAGCUUGUUGGUGGGGUAGUGGCUUACCAAGGCUUUGAUGGGUAGCCGGCCUGAGAGGGUGACCGGCAACAUUGGGACUGAGGUACGGCGCAGACGCCUACGGGAGGCAGCAGUGGGGAAUAUUGCACAAUGAGCGGAGACCGGAUGCAGCAACGCCGCGUGCGGGAUGAAGGCCUUCGGGUUGUAGACCGCUUUCGCCUGUGACGAAGCGUGAGUGACGGUAAUGGGUAAAGAAGCACCGGCUAACUACGUG
rnacentral:rRNA from 1 species